rnacentral:misc_RNA from 1 species
GUAUUUUGAAUUAAGUAUUCAUAAUAUUUUUCAGACAAAUUAGUUAAAGAAUGAGUUGAUGUAUAAAAACCUCGCCAAGAUUGACGAGAUCUAACAUUGCACACAAGGUGGAUAUGGAUUUUUAAAAAGUGCAGUAAAACACUUAUUAUGAAUGAUCCUUCCGCAGGUUCACCUACGGAAA